rnacentral:rRNA from 1 species
AUUGAACGCUGGCGGCAGGCCUAACACAUGCAAGUCGAACGAGUGGCGGACGGGUGAGUAAUGUCUGGGAAACUGCCUGAUGGAGGGGGUUAACUACUGGAAACGGUAGCUAAUACCGCAUACCAGCAGAUGUGCCCAGAUGGGAGUAGCUAGUUGGUGGGGGAACAGCUCACCAAGGCGACGAUCCCUAGUUGGUCUGAGAGGAGGACCAGCCACACUGGAAAUGGGACAAGGGCCAAGCUCCUACGGGAGGGAGCAGUGGGGAAUAUUGCACAAUGGGCGCAAGCCUGAUGCAGCCAUGGCGCGGGUAUGGAGAAGGCCUUCGGGUUGUAAAGUACUUUCAGCGGUGAGGCGUUGCCCGCAAAAGAAGCACCGGCUAACUCCGUGCCAGCAGCCGCGGUAAUUC